rnacentral:lncRNA from 1 species
AUUGUUGACCAGAAAGUCAGUGCUAGGGCUGCAACCAAAUAUGUCCAUAGGAAGAGGACUGAACACUCUUCUUGACCAACAUCAAACAGCUGGGUCAUGGUACCUGCAUUAUCAUUUAUUCCACUUUCGUAAUUAGUAUUAGUCCUGAAAUAUAUUUUGUUUAAAACUAUGGUUGAUAUUUGAUAAUUUCUUACCAAUAUUCAUGGCAGGUGGCAGGGUAUAUUGAACCAUCAGCACAAAGUGGUAGAGAGGAUCUGAUGGAAGGAACCCAAGACUUCCAGCUGCUUUAACAAGCCAAAUACCAAUGGC